rnacentral:rRNA from 1 species
GACGAACGCUGGCGGCGUGCCUAAUACAUGCAAGUAGAACGCUGAAGAGAGGAGCUUGCUCUUCUUGGAUGAGUUGCGAACGGGUGAGUAACGCGUAGGUAACCUGCCUUGUAGCGGGGGAUAACUAUUGGAAACGAUAGCUAAUACCGCAUAACAAUGGAUGACUCAUGUCAUUUAUUUGAAAGGGGCAAAUGCUCCACUACAAGAUGGACCUGGGUUGUAUUAGCUAGCAGGUGAGGUAACGGCUCACCUAGGCGACGAUACAUAGCCGACCUGAGAGGUGGAUAGGCCAAACUUGGACUGAGACACGGCCCAGACUCCUACGGGAGGCAGCAGUAGGGAAUCUUCGGCAAUGGGGGCAACCCUGACCGAGCAACGCCGCGUGAGUGAAGAAGGUUUUCGGAUCGUAAAGCUCUGUUGUAAGUCAAGAACGAGUGUGAGAGUGGAAAGUUCACACUGUGACGGUAGCUUACCAGAAAGGGACGGCUAACUACGUGCCAGCCGCCGCGGUAA